rnacentral:misc_RNA from 1 species
AAAUUGUCGAAAAUGUUGAAGGUGAUGCCAACUUGAUGAGCCAUUGUGAACCGGGCUUGAGGAUGGAGCUUGGUAGAUUCUAAGCCCAAUCUUCAUAACCAAGAACAAGAAGAUCUCUUGUUUACGCUGCAAGAACUUUUUCCAGCAAAAAGAGCCGAACACACCACACCCAAUUGACUUCUUAGCUCUGCUCCACGACCAAAGAAAUCCCACAAAUUCACGAUGAAGUGCCAGAGAUUUUUAUCGAUUCCAGUCUUUUCUGUGUUUCUGUUA